rnacentral:rRNA from 1 species
UGGUGGAGUGAUCUGUCUGGUUGAUUCCGUUAACGAACGAGACUUCCGCUUUCUAAUUUGCGACGGAUGCCCCGGCAUCUGAAGACUAAUUAGAGGGACUUUAUGUGCUGAGCAUAAGGAAGAGGGAGGCAAUAACA